GUCAAACUGUGUGCAUCUCAGCAUAACCCAGCUUUUCUGUGAAGGCCUCAGAGGUUUAAUGGAGAACAUUACUGAACAAAAAGCCUCAUGAUGACCAGGAAACCCAGCAGAUGCGACUCCGGCUGGGAAAAGAAAACAUCACUGGUCAGCUUCUAUGCUCUUCAAAUAUGGAACAAACGUCCAGAAAACUGAAAAACAGCUGAAACACUGAGCUUUAAAUCAAGACUAAUAACCCGCCAUUGUGGAGUUGAUUUUGAACAAUAAUAAAUCGAAUUUUGAUCAA